rnacentral:misc_RNA from 1 species
GGAGCGGGGGUGUAAACCUAUCGCUCC